rnacentral:rRNA from 1 species
UAAAACCAGCACCUCAAGUGGUCAGGAUGAUUAUUGGGCCUAAAGCAUCCGUAGCCGGCUCUGUAAGUUUUCGGUUAAAUCUGUACGCUCAACGUACAGGCUGCCGGGAAUACUGCAGAGCUAGGGAGUGGGAGAGGUAGACGGUACUCGGUAGGAAGGGGUAAAAUCCUUUGAUCUAUUGAUGACCACCUGUGGCGAAGGCGG